UCACCGCAAAUGUUCUGAUGACUAUGAACUGAUUUGUAAUAUUGUGUAUACAGUAUUCAUCCACUUUGGGUCAUAUUGGGGAUUGUACUCAAAUGUUUUUACUGAAUCUGUCUGACGUCAUCACGUAUGUGCUCCGCCCCCGACGUGCCUCACUGCUCUCACCCGCGUUCGUUCAUGAGUCCGCCAUUAUAGCUCCUCUCGAAUGAAAUCACUCAAACUUCCAGAAGUAUACUUUGCCCACCGUGCCCUCGAGUCUCACUGCCGGAAUUUGACCGCGCUACCGCGGAGCAACUGGCAGAUAAAUGGCUUCUUCAGCCUGAUUUGUGCAGAGUUUCAUAGAAUAACGAACUUCAACCUGAAGAACCACUUUUACGCGGAGUUGGAUCGGCAUGUUGAGCUUGUUCAGGAAGAAGGCGGCACUCAAAGGAAAAUUGUCUGAAGUUCUGGAUCAGCUCUUCACCGCCUAUGACCUCCAGGAUCAAGGUGACGUCCAUUGCCGAUGUGCUGCUGUCCUCCGUGGUCUGCCUGGAUUUCUGCAUGAGGAUGACUCCAGGUUUCUGAGGCUGUGGCAUGUAAGUCAGCAUAAUAACUGUUUUGAAUGUAUGUGACAGAUCAGCAAAAAAUAUAGUUUAUCUUAUAAAUAUACAUACACAUGC